CCCAAUGGGCGAAACCCGGACGGAAGGACCCCGCUGAAUGGAGAAAUCCUUUCGGUACGUAAACAUCUUUUAUCGGGGACGAAGUUUAUUGACGGUACCCGAUGAAUAAGGGGCUCCUAACUUUGUGCCAGCAGGAGCGGUAAUACAGAGGCCCCAACCAUUACCCGGAAUCCUGGGGGUAAAAGGGGGUUUAAGCGGCCAUAUUAGUCUUUCGAAAAAUGUCCGGGUUUAACCUGUCACCCAGGAGAAACGGUUAGCUCGAGGGGUUGAGAGGUACAGGGAACUCAUGCGUAGGGGUGAAAUCCGUUGAUAUCAUGGGGAACCCAAAGGCGAAGGCAGUGCACUGGUACGUUCCUGACGCUCAAACACGAAAGCCA
rnacentral:rRNA from 1 species